UACGUAGGUGGCAAGCGUUGUCCGGAUUUAUUGGGUUUAAAGGGUGCGUAGGCGGUCUUUUAAGUCAGUGCUGAAAUAUCCCGGCUUAACCGGGGAGGGUGGCAUUGAUACUGAAGGACUUGAGUACAGUCGAGGUAGGCGGAAUUGACGGUGUAGCGGUGAAAUGCUUAGAUAUCGUCAAGAACACCGAUAGUGUAGACAGCUUACUAGGCUGAAACUGACGCUGAGGCACGAAAGUGUGGGGAUCAAACAGG
rnacentral:rRNA from 1 species